AAGACAAAAAUGAAGUGAAUUUGUGUUUAAAACAAGAACAAAUAUCUGCCAACGGAGUCAGAAAAAUAAACUUAAUUCAAACAAGACUCCAUUGGCAGAUAUUUGUUCCUAAAUUCACUUCAUUUUGAUCAAUUUUUCAUAAAACAAGACUUAAUAUCUUCAUUUAUUUUGCUUCUCCAGUAAAUGUAUCUUGAUUCAAGAAUGUUUAGAUAUUUGUGUUGGAAAACAAGACAGAAAUAAUGAAUAAAAAAUCUUUUUUUUUGCAGUGUAACAUAUUUUAUGUUCAACAGAAGAAAGUCAGUCAGUUUGGAAAGACAUGAGGGAGAGUAAAUAAUGACAGAAUUUUCAUUUUUGAGAUUUUUGCUUCUAAUGUUUUACCUGAAUAGAAGGAUAACUCUAAAAUAUGAUGCUCACCCAUCAUUCAUUGUGUGUUUCUGAAAUCCAUCAAUGACUGUGGUGAGACGCGUGAGACAGAGGAGCGCUGUACACCUGUUGACCGCCGCAGGCUGGACUUCAGUGAAGUUCAACACCUUCACCUGCUGCUCGACAGAAACAAAAGAGCAGAGGUGAGCCAGAAAUAGCCGUGCGAGAGCGUUUCCUCUUGGCCGAUCAAAGGCGCAUUUGUGCAGCGUUGAUUCCCUGCGGCUGUGCAGAGCAGAUAAGCAUCAAACCGCACGGCUCACGCCACAGAGCCAGCUCUGCUGAAGACUGUUUGCUUGCCUGUUUUAUUCUCUCAUUUAGUUUUCCUCCAGGGUCUGCCACUUAGAUCCUAUCUGAGCUGGAGUAAAUGGAUUUGACAUGAUUGUUCAGCAGAUAUCCAGUGAUGAAAGUCUGAAAGGUUUACUACAGCGCUGGCUCAUUCAUCCAAAUGGCGACUUCCAGCGUAAAUUACUAGAGUUAUCAGACAACAAAUGACUUGUGUUAUUAAUUGCAUUGUGCUGUCUCAAGUUUACUUAUAUACAGAGAGGAAAUAAAAGAAAUAAAUAUGUGCAUAUUUGAUAAAACAGCAGGAAACGGGGGUGGGAAAGGUCAAAUAGACAUCCUCGUGUAGAAACUGAAAUAAAAAACGUGUAAAAAUACAUUUACAUUCAUGCAUUUAGCAGACGUGAUUUACAAGAGAUGAACACAAGUUAUUUGUCACAAAAAAAUAAAGAUUGCCAAAAUUUUGUGUCAGCUAUUAA